rnacentral:rRNA from 1 species
AUCCAACCUUCCGGUAACUCCGGUAUAGCCUUUCGAAAGAAAGAUUAAUCCCGGAUAGUAUGGUGAUUCCGCAUGGUUUUUCCAUUAAAGGAUUCCGGUUACCGAUGGGGAUGCGUUCCAUUAGGCAGUUGGCGGGGUAACGGCCCACCAAACCUACGAUGGAUAGGGGUUCUGAGAGGAAGGUCCCCCACAUUGGAACUGAGACACGGUCCAAACUCCUACGGGAGGCAGCAGUGAGGAAUAUUGGUCAAUGGGCGGAAGCCUGAACCAGCCAAGUAGCGUGAAGGAUGACUGCCCUAUGGGUUGUAAACUUCUUUUAUAAGGGAAUAAUUGCGGGUACGCGUACCCGUUUGCAUGUACCUUAUGAAUAAGGAUCGGCUAACUCCGUGCCAGCAGCCGCGGUAAUACGGAGGAUCCGAGCGUUAUCCGGAUUUAUUGGGUUUAAAGGGAGCGUAGGCGGGCGCUUAAGUCAGCUGUGAAAGUUUGGGGCUCAACCUUAAAAUUGCAGUUGAUACUGGGUGCCUUGAGUGCAGUAUAGGCAGGCGGAAUUCGUGGUGUAGCGGUGAAAUGCUUAGAUAUCACGAAGAACUCCUAUUGCGAAGGCAGCUUGCUGGAGUGUAACUGACGCUGAUGCUCGAAAGUGUGGGUAUCAAACAGGAUUAGAUACCCUGGUAGUCCACACAGUAAACGAUGAAUACUCGCUGUUUGCGAUAUACUGCAAGCGGCCAAGCGAAAGCGUUAAGUAUUCCACCUGGGGAGUACGCCGGCAACGGUGAAACUCAAAGGAAUUGACGGGGGCC